UACGUAGGUGGCGAGCGUUGUCCGGAUUUACUGGGCGUAAAGAGCGCGCAGGCGGUCGUCCAAGUCGCGUGUGAAAGCCCCCGGCUCAACUGGGGAGGGUCACGCGAUACUGAUCGACUCGAAGGCAGGAGAGGGAAGCGGAAUUCCCGGUGUAGUGGUGAAAUGCGUAGAUAUCGGGAGGAACACCAGUGGCGAAGGCGGCUUCCUGGCCUGUUCUUGACGCUGAGGCGCGAAAGCUAGGGGAGCAAACAGG
rnacentral:rRNA from 1 species